rnacentral:rRNA from 1 species
GACGAACCGUGCGAACGUUGUUCGGAAUCACUGGGCUUAAAGGGCGCGUAGGCGGCCUGCUAAGUCGGACGUGAAAUCCCUCGGCUCAACCGGGGAACUGCGUCUGAUACUGGGUGGCUUGAAUUCGGGAGAGGGAAGUGGAAUUUCCGGUGUAGCGGUGAAAUGCGUAGAUAUCGGAAGGAACAUCAGUGGCGAAAGCGACUUCCUGGACCAAUACUGACGCUCAUGUGCGAAAGCGUGGGGAGCAAACAGG